rnacentral:lncRNA from 1 species
CCCCCCGCGGCCGCAAACGACGGCGCAACCCAUUACGCCGCCGGCCGAACCCCAUGGGCUAAAUAUUCUUGGUACUACUACUAAUGGGUCUUCUUCUUGUUGAAUCUUUCCCCCUGAGAUUAAUUAUAUAAAAUUUUAAAUAAGUUUUUUUUUUUCUUUUUUUAGAUUAAUUAGUUCAUCGGUAAAAGAAAGGCUUCAACUUUGUUAGUUAAUUCCUAUGUUUCUUCUUAAUUAAUCUAGAUUUUUGCUUAUGUUAAUCUUGUCUUAAGUAGCUAAUUAACAUCACUAAUCAUCAUCAUUAAGGUUAAUCACUCGAGCUUUCAGUGAGGUUCAAAAAUGGCGGAACUAUUCAAUUUAAUGGGAAAUUUUUAAUUUUUAUUAUUUUCUCCUGGUAAUUUUUUAUCUUUAAGUAAAUAUAAAUUCCGGUGCCGCCAUCCAAGAUUUCAUUUCUUUUAAAUUAUAUAUUAAAUAAAACAAAUAAUAAUAAAAUAUGCAUGAAAUAAUAUUUAAUUUCUGGGGGCUGUACUGUAAUGAAACAGAGGGGGUGGUUUGUCUGAGAUGAAGCAGCAGAAAGAUUUUGUGUUACAUAAAAU